AUUCCUUUUAGAUGUUUUGGUUAAGAUCACGUGUAGUAUCUAUUCUUAUCAAUGUAAUACCUUAUAUGUCCUCUAUAUGAUGACAAUAUAUUAUAAAUCGAUUUUUUAAAUCCAGGAAUUCGAAUAAGAGCUUGCUUUAUCUACUCCAUAUAGCAACCUGAUAGUGCAGAACCUCCAGGAAUGGCAAAUCUCCC
ensembl:snRNA U2 U2 spliceosomal RNA